CCUACGGGAGGCAGCAGUGGGGAAUAUUGGACAAUGGGGGCAACCCUGAUCCAGCCAUGCCGCGUGUGUGAAGAAGGCCCUCGGGUUGUAAAGCACUUUCAGUGAGGAAGAACGCCUGGUGGUUAAUACCCAUCAGGAAAGACAUCACUCACAGAAGAAGCACCGGCUAACUCCGUGCCAGCAGCCGCGGUAAUACGGAGGGUGCGAGCGUUAAUCGGAAUUACUGGGCGUAAAGCGCGCGUAGGUGGCUUGAUAAGCCGGUUGUGAAAGCCCCGGGCUCAACCUGGGAACGGCAUCCGGAACUGUCAAGCUAGAGUGCAGGAGAGGAAGGUAGAAUUCCCGGUGUAGCGGUGAAAUGCAUAGAGAUCGGGAGGAAUACCAGUGGCGAAGGCGGCCUUCUGGACUGACACUGACACUGAGGUGCGAAAGCGUGGGUAGCAAACAGGAUUAGAUACCCUUGUAGUC
rnacentral:rRNA from 1 species